UCAUUAGCUACCACUAUAUGCAUCAAUGAUAAACACUCAUCUUAAACAUACAAGCGACCUAGUCGCUUCGGUAAACACAACCCACCUUAACUUAUUCUCCGAUUGCUCGUAGUCACUUGCAAUCGGUCUCCCGCGGCACCCGUUGCCCGGUUCGGCCCGAACUCGCGCGCGACUACCCAAACGACCAUCGAUCGACAAUCUGAAAAUUAAA
rnacentral:lncRNA from 1 species